rnacentral:rRNA from 1 species
GAUGAACGCUGGCGGCGUGCCUAAUACAUGCAAGUCGAGCGAACGGACGAGAAGCUUGCUUCUCUGAUGUUAGCGGCGGACGGGUGAGUAACACGUGGAUAACCUACCUAUAAGACUGGGAUAACUUCGGGAAACCGGAGCUAAUACCGGAUAAUAUUUUGAACCGCAUGGUUCAAAAGUGAAAGACGGUCUUGCUGUCACUUAUAGAUGGAUCCGCGCUGCAUUAGCUAGUUGGUAAGGUAACGGCUUACCAAGGCAACGAUGCAUAGCCGACCUGAGAGGGUGAUCGGCCACACUGGAACUGAGACACGGUCCAGACUCCUACGGGAGGCAGCAGUAGGGAAUCUUCCGCAAUGGGCGAAAGCCUGACGGAGCAACGCCGCGUGAGUGAUGAAGGUCUUCGGAUCGUAAAACUCUGUUAUUAGGGAAGAACAUAUGUGUAAGUAACUGUGCACAUCUUGACGGUACCUAAUCAGAAAGCCACGGCUAACUACGUGCCAGCAGCCGCGGUAAUACGUAGGUGGCAAGCGUUAUCCGGAAUUAUUGGGCGUAAAGCGCGCGUAGGCGGUCUUUUAAGUCUGAUGUGAAAGCCCACGGCUCAACCGUGGAGGGUCAUUGGAAACUGGAAAACUUGAGUGCAGAAGAGGAAAGUGGAAUUCCAUGUGUAGCGGUGAAAUGCGCAGAGAUAUGGAGGAACACCAGUGGCGAAGGCGACUUUCUGGUCUGUAACUGACGCUGAUGUGCGAAAGCGUGGGGAUCAAACAGGAUUAGAUACCCUGGUAGUCCACGCCGUAAACGAUGAGUGCUAAGUGUUAGGGGGUUUCCGCCCCUUAGUGCUGCAGCUAACGCAUUAAGCACUCCGCCUGGGGAGUACGACCGCAAGGUUGAAACUCAAAGGAAUUGACGGGGACCCGCACAAGCGGUGGAGCAUGUGGUUUAAUUCGAAGCAACGCGAAGAACCUUACCAAAUCUUGACAUCCUUUGACAACUCUAGAGAUAGAGCCUUCCCCUUCGGGGGACAAAGUGACAGGUGGUGCAUGGUUGUCGUCAGCUCGUGUCGUGAGAUGUUGGGUUAAGUCCCGCAACGAGCGCAACCCUUAAGCUUAGUUGCCAUCAUUAAGUUGGGCACUCUAAGUUGACUGCCGGUGACAAACCGGAGGAAGGUGGGGAUGACGUCAAAUCAUCAUGCCCCUUAUGAUUUGGGCUACACACGUGCUACAAUGGACAAUACAAAGGGCAGCGAAACCGCGAGGUCAAGCAAAUCCCAUAAAGUUGUUCUCAGUUCGGAUUGCAGUCUGCAACUCGACUACAUGAAGCUGGAAUCGCUAGUAAUCGUAGAUCAGCAUGCUACGGUGAAUACGUUCCCGGGUCU